GGCGAGAUGGAGCAGUGGUAGCUCAACAGUUUCAUAAGCUGUAUGUCGGCGGUUCGAAUCCGCCUCUCGCUA
rnacentral:tRNA from 1 species